CGAGGUGUAGCGCAGUGUGGUAGCGCGCUACGUUCGGGACGUAGAAGUCGCAGGUUCAAAUCCUGUCACCUCGA
rnacentral:tRNA from 1 species